GAGACUAUCUUCAGCAUCACAAAUUCUAAAAUUCAAAUGAUACAGAGAAGAUAAAUAUGGCCCCUGCACAAAGAUGCAUGCAAAUUCAUGAAGCAUUCCAUAUUUUU
ensembl:snRNA U6 U6 spliceosomal RNA